rnacentral:rRNA from 1 species
AUUAAUAAUUAAUAUAUUUAAUAAAAAUAAUUUUAAUUUAAUAAGUAUUUUAAUGGGGGUUAAAGUAUUUUUUAAAGAAAAAAUUUUUAAAUUUAUAGUUAAUUAGUAUUGUGAAAGAAUUUUGAAAUAUUAUGAAAAAUAAAAUUUUUAGAAAGUAAUUUUUAUUUAUUGUAUCUUGUGUAUCAGAGUUUAUUAAAAAUUUUUAAUUUAUGAAUUAAUUUCUCGAAUUUAAAAGAGUUAAAUAAUUAUUAAAGUUAUUGUAGCAAAAUUAUUUUAAAUAAUUAUUUAGAAAUGAAAUGUUAAUCGUUUUUAAAUAUAUCUAGUUUUUAUAGAAAAAAAUUUAAUUUUAAAUUUAAAAAUUAUUUAAUUAAUUUAUUAAUUAAAUAAUUACUUAAAUUUUAUAAUUUAAGGGAUAAGCUUUAAAUUAAAUUUUUAUAAUAUUAAAUUUUUAUUUUGAAAAUUUUAUAAUUUAUAUUGUUAAUAAAUUUUAUUUUGUUAUAAAUAAUUUCAUUUUUUUUAAAAUUUAAAUUUUAUUUAAUUUUUUAUACAAAAUUUAUUUAUAAUUAUAUAAAGUUAAUUAUAAUGAUAAAAUUAGUAUAUUAUUUAAUAUUAAAUUAAAAUUAAUUUCUGAUUAAUAAUUAAAUUAAUUAAAAGGAAUUCGGCAAAUAUUUAUUUUCACUUGUUUAUCAAAAACAUGUCUUUUUGUUAUUUAAUUUAAAGUCUAAUCUGCCCACUGAUUUAUAAAAAUUGAAGGGCUGCAGUAUACUGACUGUACAAAGGUAGCAUAAUCAUUAGUCUCUUAAUUGGUGACUUGUAUGAAAGAUUGGAUGAAAAAUAUACUGUCUCUUAAUUAAUAUAUAGAAUUUAAUUUUUUAUUUAAAAAGUUAAAAUAACUUAAAAAGACGAGAAGACCCUAUAGAGUUUAAUAAAUUAUUUUAUGAAAGUUUUAUUUAUAUUUAUUAAUAAUUUUAUAAAUUUAUUUAUUUAGUUGGGGUGAUAAAAAAAUAAAUUUAACUUUUUUUAAGUAAUUUACAUGGAUAAGUGAUUAAU